rnacentral:tRNA from 1 species
GCGGCAGUAGCUCAGUUGGACAGAGCAUGGGCUUCUAAGCCCAGGGUCGUAGGUUCGAAUCCUACCUGUCGUGCCA